ensembl:lncRNA
GCGGGAUCCGAGCCGCGUCUGCGACCUACACUACAGCUCACGGCAACGCCGGAUCCUUAACCCACUGAGCAAGGGCAGGGACCGAACCCGCAACCUCAUGGUUCCUAGUCGGAUUUGUUAACCACUGUGCCACGACGGGAACUCCCAAUAAAUAAAAUAUUUUUAAAAAAACCCACACAAGUCAAGCUACAGGGAAUAUAUAGCCUAAAUGCUGUAACUAUAAAUGGAAUAUAACCUUUAAAAAGUGUGAAUUACAGAGUUCCUGCUGUGGCACAGUGGCUCAGGUCACUGCAAAAGUGAGGGUUCCAUCCCCAGCUCAGUGCAGUGAGUUAAAGGAACUGGUGUUGCCUCAACUGUGGGGUAGGUAGCAACUACAGCUUGGAUUCAAUCCCUGGCCUGGGAAUGUCCAUGUGUCACAGGUACAGCCAUUAAAAAAAAAAAGUGUGAAUCACUAUGUUGUACACCUCAAGUUUAUGUAAUAAUGUGCAUCAACCAUACCUCAAUUAAAAAAAAAAAAAUAAGUCAAGCCACUUGCUGUCAAAAAGGCUGUGUUAGUGGGUUGGGUUGAGAAGCCAGGGCUGUGGGGUAACUGACAGACCCUGAGAAAACAGUUAGGCGUGGGGUCAAACCAAAUUUUAACCAGUCACUUAUUUUCUUUUAGGAUGCCCUGAAAGAUACCUGGCUGGACACCAUGGUGCCACUGCUUAAACCAUCUCCUAUAUGCUUUUGUCUGUAUUUCACAGCUGCCUGAUAAAAAUCCUCCAACUACUCAAUCAGUUUCAGAGCAAAAAUAGGACAUGAGAAAGUCUGUAGAACUUGGCAGGCUUCUGUGUUCAAGUUUUAACAUAUAUACACACACACACACACACACACACAUAUAUAUAUACAUACAUAUAGAUAUAUAUAUAUAUAUAUUUUUUUUGGUCUUUUUAGGGCCUCACCUGCAGCACAUGGAGGUUCCCAGGCAAGGUAUCCAAUAGGAGCUAUUGCUGCCGGCCUACUCCAGAGCCACAGCAAUGCCAGAUCCAAGCAGUGUCUGCGACCUAUACCACAUCUCAUGGCAACACCAGAUCAUUAACCCACUGAGCAAGGCCAGGAAUUGAACCUGCAACCUCAUGGUUCCUAGUCGGAUUCAUUUCCAUUGUGCCACGAUGGGAACUCCUUAACUUAUAUUCAAAAUAGUCAAGAGGUUGGACUUCUUUGGUGGCUCAGUGGGUUAAGGAUGCUCCAUUGUCACUGCUGUGGCAUGGGUUUGAUCCCUGGCCCAAGAACUUCCACAUGCCAUGGGUGCAGCCAAAUAAACAAGAUUCACACCCCCUAUUUAACAAGCCUCAGUGCCUGGACUAAUGAUGCUUACUCCAGCUUUCUGCUCCCCAAACUCCCUCUUCUGUACUCACAUACUUUCACUGGAGUAUCAAAGGAAAAAUGGAGGUAAAACCAAAUCAAGGCAUCUUGGUGACCUAGUGGAUACCUUUUCAAGGUGAGGUUAAUUCCAUUUGUGUGAAUUUCUUCAUGAGACUGUUCACUCAGGAGUGUGGCACUGCGUUUAAUGACCAGAAUCCUAGAAGAAGAUCUGCCCAGCCAAAGAAAGGACCCUAUUCUGAUCAUUCUCUGCUCUAAUGAGUGCCUCCAAAAGACAGGUUUUUUUGCUUGCAAAACCAUCCAGGUCUCUGACCAGACUCAGCUGUCCUCAUGGAUGGACCAGCUGAAACAGCAGAUCUUUUCGUACGCUCAUAGCUGGUUGGUUUCUUCCCUCUUGGACUGGUUUGCCUGCAACCUCUCGGAGAGCACUUCCAAAGUCUACCUUGUGCUCAUUAUGUACCAUCCUGACCAUGUGCACAACAGAAAACACCUGGGCUCUAGAGCCAGGCUUUGCUACUUACUAGCAACACUGCCCAAGAAACCAAGCUUUCUGGGCAUCAACUUCCUUACUGGCAAAACAGAGAUGAUACAAGUACACGUUUUCUGAGGACUUAAGGAAUACAUAAGGUCUUAAAAAUCCAGCACCUGGCACAAGAGCAAUCAAAUAUUCACUAAAAUGGAGUGAUCUUACAUGGAUGCACAAGAUUCCCAGGCUGUGGAGGAGAACACAGUAGAGAAAGAUAAGUGACCCAUAUUGCAGCUCCAUA